CGGCUGAUGAACGUUUCUCUGCUCCGGGACAACAAACACCCGAAUGAGCAGAGACGGGGCAGCCGAGGCAGCGUUCGCGCACCCAGCCGACAGCCUAGCAUGGCUAGCCUGCGUCCCACCUCACCCAACGCAAGUCAAGGGGUGGCCUAGGUGUACCUGGCCCAGUAAAUUGGACAGUCAAAGUACAGGGACCAGACUACAUUACUCUAUAGUGACCAUUGGACAUUCCAUCACUCUUAUAGCCUUUUCUACGCUGCUAAACUUUAAGCAAUUUUACAAUCUCACUUAUCAAUCGACACGUACUCUAGACUUAGUGGUCCUAGAUUAGCUUUCUUUAUUCAGUAACGUAUACAAAGAUUUAUUCUGUCCAGUAGACUAGAAAGGCGAGCUCAUCUUUAGAUCAAAAUUCGCUUAGGGAAAGUCUAUUGUCGAGAAUAAUUUUUUACGUAUUUUUAACAAACUGUAAAUUUAUUUAGUGCCUCUGUAAAGCUUAGUGGAUUGAGCACUUUUAAAUUACCACUUUACCGUAGGAGAACGUAGCCGUAGGGCGUAGGGCGUAGAGCGCAGACGCAGGGUGGCGCUCGAGUGACCUGUCAGUUCCAGGGUCGGUCUCUCGAGUGCAGGGGUGGGGCUCAACCGGGAAAGUUAAGGGAAGACUUUCCCGGUUGGCAGUGGUCGGUCGCGUACCCGAGCUCAAGCCAAGCUGAUCUGUGAGAUAUUAUUUCUCGGCACGGUUUUACGGUAGUUUUGCUUCGUAGAAGUUCGUUUCGUGCCAAUUUUCACAUUUUAAAGUCUUCCUUCUUCAGUUUAGCACAAGAGGGUGUUAGUAUCCGGCACAUUAAAGUUAGAGAUUGUAGUUUAUUUAUCAUAUUUAAUCGUGUAUUUCCGAUUUUCGCUGUGUUCAGCGACAUGUACCUAUUGUACUUUAAUUAUUCUCCUACCAGCGUACUUGAUUAUAAAGUUUACCUUCUUUA